UUUUCAUUUAAUCUUCAAAUGUUAAGUUUCGCACAGAAAACUGUAAAAGUAUCUAUAUCUAUUGUAUUGUUGUUUAUAUCAUCUAUUCGGUAACUGCAUGGAAUACACCAAGAUUUGUUUACCUUUUACAUUGUAAUUAAACACCCAGUACAAAAUACCAUGUUAUAACAAUGAAUAGUAAAUGAAUAUUAUGGUCUUGUAUUUCUCAAGUGUAUUCAUAAAUAUGUUCCUGGGAUUCUUUAAGUGUUGUAAAAUCUUUACUUACCGUGAUAAACAGUUGUAAUAUUUAUUUAAUUAUUUAAAACGUUUUUAUUUCUUGACCCGAC
rnacentral:lncRNA from 1 species